UGGAGUGGGGGAUAACUGAGGGAAACCUUAGCUAAUACCGCAUAAUACCUACGGGUCAAAGGAGCAAUUCGCUUUGGGAGGGGGUCGCGGCCGAUUAGUUAGUUGGCGGGGUAAUGGCCCACCAAGACAGUGAUCGGUAUCCGGCCUGAGAGGGCGCACGGACACACUGGAACUGAAACACGGUCCAGACUC
rnacentral:rRNA from 1 species